AGAGCAAGUAACGUCUAAAUUAACUUUUUUUUGCUGAUGAACUGUAUAAAUGAGUGUCUAAUAGUGUUUUAAAUGUGUGUAUUCAUUAUUUUAGCAUUUUGGUGCAUUUUCUUAAAAAAUUAAAAAUUCUGCCUAAAUACCACAGUAUAGCUCCACCUUCAGCUUAAAACAUAGAAUUUGACUCAUUUUGAAUAAAUUUUAGCCAAUGGCUAAAGAGUAAGAUACUACGUAAUCCAGUAGAGUACUACGUAGCAGCUCUGUGUCAACGUUAUAAAAGCAUCGGGAGUCUCGGCCACGCCUUGUGGCGAAUUGGGAGUUGGAUUUGCAUGAGAGUGUAGGAGGCUAGCCGUAGUUCAGCAUUAGCAUAUAGCAUUAGCAUAUCCUAGUCUUUAGCAUAGCUUUUAGUGUUAUACAUACUUAUUUAGUGUUAGCUUGGCUGUUGGAUGUUGUAGUUUAGUUACUGUUUGGCUGUUAGUGUAAUUAGGAAAGUAGUUCGGGUUUAGUGCUCCAUAUCGUGUUAGCAUGGUGAGAUGGUGUAGUGUAGUAUGGUUGCGGAGCUCUGUCGGGUUGCACUCCUUUCCGCUGGACUUAGAAAUUAGGCGCCAGUGGUUGCGUGUCUGGAAAAGAUUCAGCUCCCGCCUGGUGCUGUAGUUUGCAACCAGCAUUUUACCCGCGAUUCUGCACGUCUCCGUUCCAAGAGGGAGGCUGUGCCCACCGUGGCUCUUCCGCGAUUUAGAUGCAGCCCACCGACUCUGCUCCCCCACCAUGACGGGCUACAGUCUGAGGCUAAAUCUACCCAAGACACUGGCUGUCAGACUGAUUUAGUAAUCUGCAAGAAUGCACUUGUCCAGGCUGACGUGGUGUUACCCGUAGCAAAGAGCUCACAGCCUCAGUGUCUUGUGACACAGGGACCAUGACAGAAAUUCAUCUUCCAGAAGGUCCCAGAGCAUCCACACCUCCUGAAAAGACCACGGUGUGAGGUGUCUGCUGUUGAUUCCAGCUUCCACCUCAGUGACAGUGCAAGCUCAGUGAACUGUUCAAGGAGGCUACUGAUUCUGGCACUGUGACACUUGGUGGUCACCACCAGGUGGUGACGUGUGAGCUGAUUCACCUGGACACUCAGCAAAAUAUGGACUCUACACCAUGAGGCAGGCACACGUUAAUAACUCUAUAAGAGCACAUAAGCCUGGCUGAUCACCUGAUAACUCCUGUCAUCUGGUUAUGACAGCAUGAGGAUGUCCUCACACACCUGUAACCUAUCAGCUCAUCUGGCAGAAUAGAGAGAGAAGAGACAACACCACAUCUCCUGUUCCUGGAAAGCCUUCAGCCAACCUUCGAUGACUGAGAACCUCCAUCAGCUCUGUC